rnacentral:rRNA from 1 species
CCUACGGGUGGCAGCAGUAGGGAAUUUUCGGCAAUGGGCGAUAGCCUGACCGAGCAACGCCGCGUGAACGAAGAAGGUCUUCGGAUUGUAAAGUUCUGUUAUAGAGGAAGAAUGGUGUACGUAGGAAAUGGCGUACAAAUGACGGUACUCUGUGAGGAAGCCACGGCUAACUACGUGCCAGCAGCCGCGGUAAUACGGAGGAUGCGAGCGUUAUCCGGAUUUAUUGGGUUUAAAGGGUGCGUAGGCGGAAUGCCAAGUCAGCGGUAAAAUCGCGGGGCUCAACCUCGCUCCGCCGUUGUAACUGGCGUUCUUGAGUGGGCGAGAAGUAUGCGGAAUGCGUGGUGUAGCGGUGAAAUGCAUAGAUAUCACGCAGAACUCCGAUUGCGAAGGCAGCAUACCGGCGCCCAACUGACGCUGAAGCACGAAAGCGUGGGUAUCGAACAGGAUUAGAUACCCGGGUAGUC